AUUGAACGCUGGCGGCAGGCUUAACACAUGCAAGUCGAGCGGAGUGAUGGUGCUUGCACUAUCACUUAGCGGCGGACGGGUGAGUAAUGCUUAGGAAUCUGCCUAUUAGUGGGGGACAACAUCUCGAAAGGGAUGCUAAUACCGCAUACGUCCUACGGGAGAAAGCAGGGGAUCACUUGUGACCUUGCGCUAAUAGAUGAGCCUAAGUCGGAUUAGCUAGUUGGUGGGGUAAAGGCCUACCAAGGCGACGAUCUGUAGCGGGUCUGAGAGGAUGAUCCGCCACACUGGGACUGAGACACGGCCCAGACUCCUACGGGAGGCAGCAGUGGGGAAUAUUGGACAAUGGGGGGAACCCUGAUCCAGCCAUGCCGCGUGUGUGAAGAAGGCCUUAUGGUUGUAAAGCACUUUAAGCGAGGAGGAGGCUCUUUUGGUUAAUACCCAAGAUGAGUGGACGUUACUCGCAGAAUAAGCACCGGCUAACUCUGUGCCAGCCGCCGCCGUAAGAC
rnacentral:rRNA from 1 species